ACCUCAUGGUCACAAGGCAGCAGCUUUACCACUGCGCCAAGGCUCCCCUUCGCAGGAUAAUUGGUGUUGUUUUCGCUGCAGCUCAAGCCGGAUUUUGGAUUGCAAGGCUAAGCAGAAGCUGAAAAGAAGAAAUAUAUAAACCACAUUGAGAAGUUAGUCCAAUGAAUGGGAUGGGAGCCCUUCAAAGUCACAUAUACAAGCGAUUUAUGUUCAAGCUUUAUACGAGCAGGCAAUUGAGUUAAUCGGAAAGGGGAUAGCCUAUGUGGAUCACCAGGAGUUCUUUCAAUUCUCCUAUGCUUGGGAUCUGUUUGAUUGAUGGACCUUAAAGCUCAUGCAAUAAUGUAUGAACUUGUCAAAAGAUUUGAUUGUGUCUUGAAGUAACAAGGAAGAAGGGUCAGUUUAUGUUAUGCACUAAGCACAAAAAAUGAUGCCAUUGAGAAUAAUUGAUCUGCUAUGAGUAAAAGAGAGCAUUUGUACUGUUGAGUUUGAUUUAUUAAUUCGGUGGGGUACAGCCUGUUGGAGCUAUGCAAGUGCUGAUCAUCAUUUCUCAGAGUAAAGAACUGAGCAUUUGUCCUCUACGCACAAAAGCUAGAUAGAGAUUCUUUUGGUUGCUGCAGCGCAUGCAAUUCUAUACGAGUAUGUCACCAACUGGUUCAGAUUGGAUGAGUCCAUGUACCAUUGAGCUCUCAAUGACUACUACGAUAGCACCGAUAAGGUUCUGCCUCCGAGGAGUACCGUGAUUACCCUAACGAAGAACCGUAUCAGUGCAUCGAACCA